rnacentral:rRNA from 1 species
UGGGGAAUCUUGGACAAUGGGCGCAAGCCUGAUCCAGCCAUGCCGCGUGGAUGAUGAAGGCCUUAGGGUUGUAAAAUCCUUUCGCCGAGGACGAUAAUGACGGUACUCGGAGAAGAAGCUCCGGCUAACUUCGUGCCAGCAGCCGCGGUAAUACGAAGGGGGCUAGCGUUGUUCGGAUUUACUGGGCGUAAAGCGCGUGUAGGCGGGUCGUUAAGUUGGGGGUGAAAUCCCGAGGCUCAACCUCGGAACUGCCUUCAAAACUGGCGACCUGGACCUAAGUAGAGGCAAGUGGAAUUGCGAGUGUAGAGGUGAAAUUCGUAGAUAUUCGCAGGAACACCAGUGGCGAAGGCGGCUAACUGGCGCGUUUCUGACGCUGAGGUGCGAAAGCGUGGGGAGCAAACAGGAUUAGAUACCCACGUAGUCCCUGAGCGGGCUGGCAAGGCGCAU